rnacentral:SRP_RNA from 1 species
GCCUGGCACAGUGGCGCAUGCCUGUAAUCCCAGCUACUCAGGAGGCUGAGGCGGGAUGAUCGCUUGAGCCCAGGAAUUCUGGCAUGUAGCGCACUAUGCUGAUCAGGUGUGUGCACUAAGGUCAGCAUCACUGUGGUGACCUCCCAGGAGCAGAGGCCACCAGGUAGCCCAAGGAGGGGUGAACCUGCCCAGGUCAGAAACAGAGCAGGUCAAAACAAUCAGUAGUGGGAUUGAGUCUGUCAAUAGCCGCUGUACCCAGCCUGGGGAACAUAGCUGAGACCCCUGUCUCU